UUUUUUUUCUCUCAAAAAAUUUUUUUUUUUUUACGAAAUUCCACAUAGAAACGUUGAGUUGCUUCAACCAGGGUUGAAGUUGAACCCGAACACAGCGAAGAUAGUGACUAACCGGAGAAGGGAAAAGGAACUACUCACCGGCGGAAUACAUGACAGGCGAAGAAUUCUCAGGUCCUCCCGGACCAAAACUCACGCGUCUCGUCUACUUCGUCGGCGCCGCAGUGGCUUGCACCGUCGCAAUUAACAAAUGGCGUGAGUUCGAAAGUAAGUCAAUCAUCGAACAACAGGAGAAGCAGCCAGGAGUCAAGGUAGUCGCGGAGAUCAGUAAUUCGUCGGAUUCUGUUGGUGUUCAUAAAGCUCUCAAAUAAGGAUAUUUAUCAGGAUGUCUUGCUAAAAGGGUAUAAUAAUCUCCUAAGAGUUGGCCUACUGGAGCAUAAUAGUUUUUGUAAUAGACACUUCAUGGAAGAACCUCUACUAGUCCAUUUGGCGUGAGGUAGAUGUUAUUUUCUUUGCAAGUGCUACCUGAUUUUGUAAUGGGGCAUUAUUCCUUCACUUUAAAUUUAUAUUUUUUUGAUAAAUUAGAAGGGUAUAAUAUGAAAGAUAAUCUAUAUUAAGAUAAUCUCAACUCUUUUGUCCCUGGUGGAGAAGUAAUAUGUCUAAUUUUUUUCUUCAUAAAAUAAAAUAGAAACAUAUGUUUCUUCUACAUUUUCAUGAAUCAUGAUGAGCACGUACCACCUGCACAUGCAGGUUGCUGCUUUCAACAUUCAUCUUGGAAAGCCACACAACCCCUGCAAUGUACAAAUAGACAUGAAAAUAGUUGACAUCAACUACAUGACUUUCACAGGAUAUCAGUGAAAGAAGUGAUGUUAUGAAACGUACUAAAAACAUAUGCAAAAGGGAUAAUUAUUCAUGGAUUUAGUUUAAAAUAUACUAUUAAUAUUAGGCUUUAUUUGUUGAAUGUAUAUAAUCUAAAGAACUAAAUUAAAAAAUCUAUCAAUUUUUUUGACAUGAUUGGAAAAAGACAAAAUAGUUGAAUAAAGAAGAAAAUGAAGUGACAUGGGAUGAGAUAGAGUCAUGGAUGGAAAUGAUAGAACGUAAGCAAUGAAUUCAUGUGUGAGUGAAUUAACAUGGUUUUAGAUUUCAAUUUAAUUUCUAUUAGUAUGUUAUAAAGUGGGGACUUGAGAGAGAUGUCUUUUCCCCAAAUCUGAUAAGCUUAUAUGUUCCCGACAAUAUCUGAGCGUCAAAUGUGCAUGAUGACAUUCCUUAAAUAGAAUGAUAUGUUUUCAUCACCUCAAAGCAUUCCAGAGAACUAUGAGUAAGAUCUAAACUAAUUUCAAGGUUUGCCUACAAUGUUGAAAAAUAAUAUGGUUGUUAAAACUUUGAAAAUAAAAAGACUAUUUAAAUAUAUGGUUUAAUAUUAUGGUUUAUUAGUGAAUUUUUUAAAAUUUUAUGCGGUAGUUUACCUUACACCUUAAAAAAAACGAUUUUGUUAAUAAUCAACCCAUCUAACAAACUUUCAUCAUACCCAUGUUUUUUUGUCACAUUAUUGUUAAUUAUUUAGCUGCCAACAGUGUUGAAAAUAAAAAGAAAUAAUGUAAAGUACUACUAAUGAAUUGGGGCCAUAUCCUAUGAGAAGUGAAGGUUGGCACAGUUCACAACUUCACAUGGCCAUGUUUGUGAUUGUAUACAAAGAGUACUGGAUGCCAUCAAACUGGAGUACCAAAAUCAUGCAACGCUUUUAAUGAAAUCAAAUCUCUGUUUGGCUUCCUCUGAGAUAUUCUUCUGGAGCUAGAUAUCAUCAUCAUAACGUGCAGCUUUUUGUUUCUUUCUUCUUUUUUUUUAUAGUAUAAUAUUUUUA